rnacentral:rRNA from 1 species
ACGGGGUGCAGCAGGCGCGAAAACUCCACAAUGUACGGAAGUACGAUGGGGUUAUCUCGAGUGCAGUCCGAUAAGGGCUGCUUUUCCAUAGAGUAAUAUCCUGUGGGAAUAAGAGGGGGGCAAGACUGGUGUCAGCCGCCGCGGUAACACCAGCCCCUCGAGUGGUGGGGAUGAUUAUUUGGCCUAAAGCGUCCGUAGCCGGCCGGGUAAGUUUCCCGUUAAAUCCAACGUCUCAAGCGUUGGACCGCGGGAAAUACUGCCUGGCUAGAGAGUGGGAGAGGUAAGCGGUAUUCUGGGGGUAGGGGCGAAAUCCUUUGAUCCCCGGAGGACCACCAGUGGCGAAGGCUGCUUACUAGAACACGUCUGACGGUCAGGGACGAAAGCUGGGGUAGCGAACCGGAUUAGAUACCCGGGUAGUCCCAGCUGUAAACGAUGCAUGCUAGGUGUUGGGUUGGCCACGAGCCACCCCAGUGCCGCAGGGAAGCCGUUAAGCAUGCCGCCUGGGAAGUACGAUCGCAAGAUUGAAACUUAAAGGAAUUGGCGGGGGAGCAC